rnacentral:rRNA from 1 species
GAGCGGAUGACAGGAGCUUGCUCCUUGAUUCAGCGGCGGACGGGUGAGUAAUACCUAGGAAUCUGCCUGGUAGUGGGGGACAACGUUUCGAAAGGAACGCUAAUACCGCAUACGUCCUACGGGAGAAAGCAGGGGACCUUCGGGCCUUGCGCUAUCAGAUGAGCCUAGGUCGGAUUAGCUAGUUGGUGGGGUAAUGGCUCACCAAGGCGACGAUCCGUAACUGGUCUGAGAGGAUGAUCAGUCACACUGGAACUGAGACACGGUCCAGGCUCCUACGGGAGGCAGCAGUGGGGAAUAUUGGACAAUGGGCGAAAGCCUGAUCCAGCCAUGCCGCGUGUGUGAAGAAGGUCUUCGGAUUGUAAAGCACUUUAAGUAGGGAGGAAGGGCAGUAAGUUAAUACCUUGCUGUUUUGACGUUACCGACAGAAUAAGCACCGGCUAACUCUGUG